GGCCGCCGCCCGCCCGGCUUUGCGGGGGCUGCGGGGGGUGCGGGGGAGCCGGCGCGGCCGCCCGCCACUUCUGCACGGCAACAUUGCCCUCUUUCGGCGGAGCGGCGGGGAGCGGGCGGCGGGGAGCGGGCGGCGGGGAGCGGGCGGCGGGGAGCGGGCGGCGGGGAGCGGGCGGCGGGGAGCGGGCGGCGGGGAGCGGGCGGCGGGGAGCGGGCAAUGCCCCCCGGCAGCGCGGCCCCUCUCCCCCAGGUGCGCGGUGCUGCCCUGAGCCGCCCCGCCUGCCCGGGCCUGGGCACCCGCGGGGCCGGGGGAGCCGCCGGCAGCACCCGAAGCAGCGGCUGCUGUGCCACCGGCUCCUCGGCUGCUUCCCGGGCUGCGGGCGCGCUCCAUGGCCCGGGGGGCUUCUCUCCGGUGACCCUGCCCACGGGAAGAGACGCGGCCCUGACACCAAGAUGUGGCCCCAGGCUUCGGGUCCCGGCCGUGGGGCGCAGCUGAAGGGGGUCACCGCAGCGGGUCUCCCCAGGGUGCUGGGCAGCUUUCCGGCAGGGUGAGCCAACACCAUUCCCGUAACAUCCCACGGCCCCGGGAGGCGCAGCACGUCCAGGCGCCAUUUGUGUCCGUAACCCUAUAGAAAUUCAUGUGGUUACAGGUUUCUUCAAAGACUGAGUUUGAGAAAAGGCUUCAGGAAAACGCCUAAUUCAUCAUGACAUUUACUGCACAGUCAGGCUCAGCUCUCUCAGUGCUGAGGUUUUCUGUUCACGCACAAGACAAUUCAAAGGAGAUCCAAAUUUUAAGGAAAACAUUGAUUUUAUAGGGAAGGAGAAGAGAACCUUUAGCUGAGAAGUCAAAGUAUUUUGCACAAGUAUUCAGCAACAAUGUUGCCUUUCUACACCUUUGUGGUUUAGAGGUAGCUGGAAAUUAGCAGUCCCUCAAUAUUAUUUGCUAUAUCUUCUUAAAUGUGUAGAAACAGGUAAGCAAUGCGAAAUUGCCACAUAAUAAAAUACUGACUUUAAUAUCAGAGGUUAAAUAUGUUGCAAUAGGAUACCUGCUCUUCCUUAACCCCAUCUAUUAUUUUUAAACAUCAGAAGUAUUUUGUGCAAUGUCUCCUGUGCUCUUUCAGUGCCCAACUGCCAUUCUGAAUUCAGUGACAAUUACCAUCGACUCUUUCAGGUUUGUCAAAAUACCAUCUCCUCCCAUAUCAGCGAUCCAGGAGUGCCACAGGGCUCUCUCCAGCCGGGGCUGAGGGGAGAUCCAGGCACAGGCUUCAAAAGGAGCAGUGAGGGGUCCCCAGCAUCGCUCUGCACAUCUACUGACACAGAGCAGACUCCUUUCUUCUCUUUGUGCACGUCAGGCUUCUGGCCAGAAGACUUUGGAAAAAAAGCUGAUCUAAAAGGCUUUUUGAAAGAAAACUGAACUGGCGCAGACGAAGACUGAUUCUUCAUCCAUCUGACAUGUCACGCCAACAAAUGGGGUUUUGUGCACUCUGUCAGUGUCUUAAUCAGAGCGUCACGCCAGCCCGCAGCACCUCCCCAGCUCCAGACCUCUCCCAGCACUUAAUCCUUCAACUUGUGUACCUUGUACAGACAUUCCGAUGAGGGCCGAUAAUACCAGAGAUUUACAUGUU